AAGGACUCGCCGCGCCUCCAGUCAUCAAUGUUACUCACCACUGCUUGUUUGUAAAGGCCACAGGUUGGCUUCCUUGACGGGUUUUGAUCCGCUUUCCAUCUCCUGCUUUGUGGUGGCGGUGCGUUCACCACUCCGACACGCCCCACACAGCUGCCCACAGCAUGGCCACACAUCUGAAACCACAUGCAGAGAAGAAAAGUAGGAAAUUAAUAAUGUUAAACACCAGAAUAACCAAAUUAAUAAAAUCACUGUCCAUC